rnacentral:SRP_RNA from 1 species
ACCGGGUGCGGUGGCAUGUGCCUGUAAUCCAAGUCACUGGGAGGCUGAGGUUGGUGGAUCAAGUGAGCUGAGGAGCUCUGGGCUGCAGCACGCUAUGUCGAACGGGUGUCCACGCUAAGUUCGGUAUCGAUAUGGUGUUCCUGGGGGAGCCCGGGACCACCAGGUCGUCUAAGGAGGGGUGAACCGGCCCAGGUCGGAAACGAAGCAGGUCAAAUCCCCCGUGCUGUCCAGUAGUGGGAUAAUACCUGUGAGUAGAUGCUGCAGUGCAGCCUUGGCAAAACAUCGAGACCUAAUCUUUU